rnacentral:rRNA from 1 species
GAUGAACGCUGGCGGCGUGCCUAAUACAUGCAAGUCGAGCGAACAGACGAGGAGCUUGCUCCUCUGACGUUAGCGGCGGACGGGUGAGUAACACGUGGAUAACCUACCUAUAAGACUGGGAUAACUUUGGGAAACCGGAGCUAAUACCGGAUAAUAUAUUGAACCGCAUGGUUCAAUAGUGAAAGACGGUUUUGCUGUCACUUAUAGAUGGAUCCGCGCCGCAUUAGCUAGUUGGUAAGGUAACGGCUUACCAAGGCGACGAUGCGUAGCCGACCUGAGAGGGUGAUCGGCCACACUGGAACUGAGACACGGUCCAGACUCCUACGGGAGGCAGCAGUAGGGAAUCUUCCGCAAUGGGCGUAAGCCUGACGGAGCAACGCCGCGUGAGUGAUGAAGGUCUUCGGAUCGUAAAACUCUGUUAUUAGGGAAGAACAAAUGUGUAAGUAACUAUGCACGUCUUGACGGUACCUAAUCAGAAAGCCACGGCUAACUACGUG